rnacentral:rRNA from 1 species
GACGAACGCUGGCGGCGUGCUUAACACACGCAAGUCGAACGCUGAAGCUCAGCUUUUGUUGGGUGGAUGAGUGGCGAACGGGUGAGUAACACGUGAGUAACCUGCCUCCUUCUUUGGGAUAACGCCCGGAAACGGGUGCUAAUACUGGAUAUUCACUGGUCUUCGCAUGGGGGUUGGUGGAAAGGGCUUUUCUGGUGGGGGAUGCGCUCGCGGCCUAUCAGCUUGUUGGUGGGGUGAUGGCCUACCAAGGCGUUGACGGGUAGCCGGCCUGAGAGGGUGACCGGUAACAUUGGGACUGAGAUACGGCCCGGACUCCGACGGGAGGCAGCAGUGGGGAAAAUUGCACAAUGGGCGCAAGCCUGAUGCAGCGACGCCGCGUGAGGGAUGGAGGCCUUCGGGUUGUGAACCUCUUUCGCUCAUGGUCAAGCCGCAACAAUGGUUGUGGUGAGGGUAGUGGGUAAAGAAGCGCCGGCUAACUACGUG